rnacentral:rRNA from 1 species
UACGGAGGGGGCUAGCGUUGUUCGGAAUUACUGGGCGUAAAGCGCACGUAGGCGGAACAGAAAGUCAGAGGUGAAAUCCCAGGGCUCAACCUUGGAACUGCCUUUGAAACUCCUGUUCUUGAGGUCGAGAGAGGUGAGUGGAAUUCCGAGUGUAGAGGCGAAAUUCGUAGAUAUUCGGAGGAACACCAGUGGCGAAGGCGGCUCACUGGCUCGAUACUGACGCUGAGGUGCGAAAGUGUGGGGAGCAAACAGG